UAAAGACGAAUCUGAACAAAAGUUUGAAUUUAAUUCACUUCAACGCAAAUUAAAUAUGGAUCUGCUUAAAUCUACCCAACAAGGCAAGUAUCAAAACACCACAAAUAGAAUCAGAAAAAAGAAAUAUAAAUUUCUCUCAGAUCAGAAACAUGGACGAAAAUUCUGGUAUUAAAAGAAGGAUUUCACAUCAAAUCAAUUUAGAUGCAAUUGCCCUAAAUGUGCACUUUAGGAAAUAGGCAGUAUUUCUUUUAUCUCCUAAUCUGGAUUUGACCAAAUUUAAAAUUCAAAAUUCAAAUUGAUUUCCAAAAAUUACUGCAAUUAAUUGAGAUAGGUAAGGCAAAAUAUAUGAAAAAGGAAGCAAAUCACAAUUUCGGCCAGAUCAAGGUAAAUAAGGAAAAGGCGAUUUUUUUUUGGAUUAAUAAUAAAAAAGGUGCAGCCAUGAACACACAAGCUUUCACCGAAAACAACAAGGAAGAAAAUGAAAACUCAAAAAAAUAACUCUAGAUCCUGAGAUAAAUAAGAAUUUACCUCACUUUGGCUCUGAUACCAACUGACGCGGAACCCUAUGGCACAAACCUCAAACCCACACGCACAAGUAGAUAUGGAAUCCAAAGAUUUGAUAAACCCACCUCCUAUGGCACCCCACACUUAGAGAAGCUGAAACACCAAUGAUCGAAGGAUUUAGAUGAGAAUCUGACAAACGCCACAACGAAUAGUUGAUAAGUAAGCCAAGAUUCCUGGUGCAAUUGAUGAAAGCAAAUCCUCACUCCCACUCAAAGCAAUACACGCCAAAGGCAUGAGAAGAAUUCUGAAAUUUUGAUUAAAAGCCGCCUCUUACAAUUGUUUCUUAUCCUUAUAUAGUAAGGAGAAAAACAAAUAAAACCCUAAGACACUUCUUGGACCUGAUUUAAACACAUAAGGCCCAAGCCCAAUCACACACUAAAAUAACAUAUAAGUAUUAAAACAUAAGCCCAAAACAUGGCCCAACACUCUAAAACUUAAAAGAUAAAGUAUGGCCAGAAUACAAGCCCAAACAAAACUAAAAUAAAAUAAGUGUUAAAUAAUAAAAUUAUAGCAAG
rnacentral:lncRNA from 1 species